CCCUUAGGCCUUGACAUACUAAGAACUUUCCAGAGAUGGAUUGGUGCCUUCGGGAACUUAGAUACAGGUGCUGCAUGGCUGUCGUCAGCUCGUGUCGUGAGAUGUUGGGUUAAGUCCGCAACGAGCGCAACCCUUUUCCUUAUUUGCCAGCGGGUAAUGCCGGGAACUUUAAGGAUACUGCCAGUGACAAACUGGAGGAAGGCGGGGACGACGUCAAGUCAUCAUGGCCCUUACGGCCAGGGCUACACACGUGCUACAAUGGUCGGUACAAAGGGUUGCUACCUCGCGAGAGGAUGCUAAUCUCAAAAAGCCGAUCGUAGUCCGGAUCGCAGUCUGCAACUCGACUGCGUGAAGUCGGAAUCGCUAGUAAUCGCGGAUCAGAAUGCCGCGGUGAAUACGUUCCCGGGCCUUGUACACACCGCCCGUCACACCAUGGGAGUUUGUUGCACCAGAAGUAGGUAGUCUAACCGCAAGGAGGACGCUUACCACGGUGUGGCCGAUGACUGGGGUGAAGUCGUAACAAGGUAGGCGUAGAUGA
rnacentral:rRNA from 1 species